UGUGCAGACGGUUUAUUAAGUCACUUGUUAAAUUCUUCGGCCUAACUGAAGACCUGCGGGUGAUACUGGUAAACUUGAGGAUGGAAGAGAGAAGUGGAAUUCUCGGAGUAGCGGUAAAAUGCGUAGAUCUCGAGAGGAACACCAAUGGCGAAGGCAGCUUCUUGGUCCAUUCCUGACGUUCAUACACGAAAGCGUGGGGAGCAAACA
rnacentral:rRNA from 1 species